rnacentral:tRNA from 1 species
UGGGGUGUAGCCAAGCGGUAAGGCACCGGGUUUUGGUCCCGGCAUGCGCAGGUUCAAAUCCUGCCACCUCAGCCA